rnacentral:tRNA from 1 species
GCCCCAGUGGCGCAAUGGAUAGCGCGUCGGACUUCUAAUCCGGAGGUUGAGGGUUCGAGUCCCUCCUGGGUA